UAACAGGUUUUUUUUAAAACUAUAGAUUGGAAGAAAAAAGGAUGUAU
rfam:Papilio xuthus contig17560, whole genome shotgun sequence.